rnacentral:lncRNA from 1 species
GGAUGCACUGCUGUAGUAAGGUGGGGCAGAGCAGCGGUUAAAAAUGGAACGGAGCCUUUGAUCCCGGGCCAGGGCAGAUGACUCCCAGGGUUGGGGUUUUUUGGGUGGACGUCAUGUUCUUGCUCUCCGUCUCGGGACGGAGUGAGGAGUUCCUCUCCUACCUAGUGAGCACAACAAAGCCUCCGGGGCCGGCCAGGGGGACGAGAGGGCCUGCAGGCAGGGUGGGGAGGAAGGGUGUGUUUGGGGGAGCCAGGGUUGUCCCUGGCAUCUCAAAGCACCAUGGCAAAGAGCGCGUUGCUGAGCCUCUGGGCUGGUGCUUUGCUGGGGGACACGGGGGCUGGCUUGGGCCAAGUGGUGAGAUCUUUGGAAAACUAACUGCCCAAAGCUCUGAAGCUUUCAGCCUUCACGCUAACGCACGGGCCCAGCUGGCUGGAGAUUAAAGAGCGCCGUCUCAAACCAAAAAGCAUUUGAAAUUGCACCACUGAGCUGGCAGGAAAUUCCAGCUUUUUGUAGAUGUAGGAGGCGUUGGAACGGCGAGGAGCCAUAAGGCAACGUUCAGAGGUGAAUCGCAGCAUCAGCACCUCGCCAGGGAAGGCUGCCCCACCCCGAGCGCUGCACUCGGGCACGGGGGGACCGUCCGCAGCCUUCCCAAAACGUUGGGGAGCGAUGGGAGGAGGAGCAGCUUGGCUGGCAGCCGAGCUCCUGCUCCAGCUGUCUUCAUCUGCAGAAGAGGCCUCGUAAGGCUCAGGGUGAAUCCCAGUGAGGGGCUCGGCGCUGGCUUUUCGCGUGUAGAGCUUCCACUGCUGUCAACUCCAGCGAGCCCCGGACGUGCCAAGAGAUCCCCAGCGCAGAUUUGGACGUCUCUGUCCUGCCCAAGAUAAACAGGCCCUUUGCUUCUCGGACUGAAGUGCUCAUCGCCUUGGAAGAUAACACAAAUUACCGGGGCUCUUAGCUGCUUGGAAAGGAGUCGGUGUGGAUUGAUCAUAGAGAAGAUUUGCCUGGAAGAAGCACGUAUGAUAGGAGAGCAAGAGGACUGCUUGGUUUUCAGGACCUUUAUGCUUUAUUUAGUGCAAGUGUGGGGACAGAGGGCAUGAAACGAGGCAGUCGGUGAGCAUCAAUUCUGAAAACCGUACAGAAAAUGAACGCGGUGGCUCUUUCUCUGCCGCUCCUAUGCAGGCUGCCAGAGAUUAUCACGCCGGUGACAAUGCUGGGAGGCAUCUCAAGAACUCAAGGCCUCCCGUGAAGCCAUUAGCACCAAAGGGAGGCGCCCCCCUCGCCCCCCGUGCUGAGCAGAGCUGGGAUCGAGCCCUGCCAAGGCGAGCGGCGCAGAGCAGAAUCCACGCUGACGACAGAUGGAACGAAUGUUAUGGACGCAUCCCAGGGCCGGGGCUGUUGCGCCACAUAAAUCAGUAGCACAACUUUGCCAGCUCCAAAUGCUUCGCAGGGCUGGACUUUCAGCCAGCUUCAUGUCUGGCUUUGCAACCCCAAAACCGUAUGGUCAAAGAAAUUGCGAAUGCGCGUGCCCUCGUGUGAACCUCCAGCCCGUGGGGCUGUUUUCGGUCCGCCUCGUGUAGAUAAACGUGACUAAAAAAGCCAUCACUAAAAGAUAAUCCCUUGAUCUAAAUCCCGGCGUUGCCCCACACUUAUGGGCUGUGGAUGCUGCAGAUGAAGUGUGAGGUUCCAGGCUGCAGAUGCUGUCGGAGCUGCGCCGGUCGCUCGAAGCAUGUCGUGCUGCCAACGCCAGCCAAAGGCGAUGAGAUCCCAAAUAAUCGGGGGGCCAAAAAAUAUUUCACGUUGCUUUCCCUGCCUGCGUGCUGGUGGCCGGGCUGCUCCUUCGCGGGGAGAAGCUCAAAGCACACAAACAUCGCGUGUGAAAACUCGCUCCUGUCAUGAAAGCUGCUUCCCAUACACAGCAUAAAUCCCAAGUGCUUGUGAUUUAAGACAAAAAAAAAAAAAGGGCAAAUAAAAAGAUUUGCUGUUAAAAUUAUGACUUGGCA